rnacentral:lncRNA from 1 species
CACCGGCCCGCUGGAGAACCUGGCCACGCACCUCGCGGACCCGUGGCACAACAACAUCGGCGACAUCGUCAUCCCCAGAAAUAUCUACGGCCCUUGAGCGGAGCCGACCGGGCUGAGGGGAGAUCGAGGAGCCGGAGCACAUGGUUUUCAUUCAUGUUUCUGCGUCGAUCGACUGGUUGAUCAACUUGCCACGCUGGCUCUGCGCGCGUACGUCCGUGCGUGCAGGAACUGUACAACAACGUCAGCUCUCCGGCCGGCAACCUUUGUAAUGUGUAAAGCUUAAGUAGUAGCCGCUGUUGUGAAUGCACCCGUAUGAUCUGUAUAAACUCUUGCAUGAUGAUGGUCUUUUUCUUGAGGAUCAACGCUGCUGCAUUUUUAUUUAACCAGCGAAGCUGGAAAUGUCAUCAGUGAUUACAGAAAGAACAAAGUCAGGGGAGACCCCAAACCACACCUUACAUAA